ensembl:lncRNA
GAGAUGAAAUGCUCUCAGUUGGAGAUUGGGAUUACAACAUCAUGUUACCUUAAACACAAAGGUUGUUUGGCAGAACAAGGAUCCCGACAGAAAGAUAUGAAACUGUGUAUGAGAAAAUGUAGAUUGAGGGCCAGCUGCCCAGCCAGAUGCCGGUGGGAGUCGUGCCGGCAUUCCCAGCCCUGAGCUCUGCGUAGAAACAGUCCAAUCCCACAGACACGUGUGCUUAAAUCAUGCAAACAUCUUUUGGAUCUGUGAACCAAAACACAAGCCCGCAAUGAGCCUGGUGAGAUGAAACAAGCUCUCGUGGAAUGUCAUAUGAGGCCUGAUUUGCUGUUGCAAUUAAGUUUUAUCAUUCUGAAAAUUCACGUUUUACGAGAUGAAUUGACUUUUGCAGCAUAAAAAUCUUGAAAAUCCUCAUAAAAGGAGAUACAAUGAGAUGACCAGAGGGGCUUUUGGGAAGCGCUUCACAGGGAGAUGAGAAGAGAGGGGGAGAGGCAUGCUGAGAGACAGACUGAGAGAGAGAUGGAGAGAUAGCAAGACAGAGGAAGAGCAGAACACAAGGGAUCUUCUGAGGAAGAGAGAGAGAAACAGAGAAAAGGAU